UCUGCCAAAAAGGCAACAGCGACAUGCUGUUCUGCUCUGCCCUGAGUGAUCAGACAAUUCUGAGAGCAAACAGGAACUCCGGCAGCAGGAAUCAAAGGCCUUCCCAGCCAGAGUGGAGAGAAGCAAGGGAGAGGUCCGAGAUUAAGAAAUAAAGUGAAUUCAUAUAUAUGGAAAAAUCAAGAGAGGGUCGCCAUGGUUUGGGUGAGAGUCCUCCUCUACCAUGUGUUCCACCACAGACCUAAAGCAAAAGGACCAAGCAUCCAUGGACUGAAACCUCUGAAUCCGUGAGCCAAAAGAAGCCUUUUCUCUUUCUAAAUUGAUUAUCUCAGGGAAUAGGAAGUUGUCUGUCCUUUUGUAGCAAGAGAGACCAUGAACCAACCAUAAGAUGGAAAUAGCAUCAGUAAAUCUUGUAGCUGGGAGAUCCUCGUGAUGCCUUUCUAAUGUCUAUUAAUAAACGAGGAGUUUCUGUGUUGUGAGAACGAGCUGUACCUGAAGGGAGUAACGUGUUCUCGAAAGGCAUUGACUCUCAUAUAUGUGAAGAGCACAUAUUCUUAUUCAGAGCUGUUUCAGCAGAACCUGAAGCAAUACAUGCUGUGGACAUCUACUGAAUACACGUGAAAUUCCUGUCGAACGAGGGAAUCAAAAAUCGUACACACUGGCUGGCAAAUGGAGGAGAGGCUGAAGUGGUUUCUUAGGGAAAGACACUGGAGACACCACUGCAGGUCCAAGUGCCUAUGCUGAUUCUCUUGGAGGUGGAAACAGGGUGGGGGGGGUGUAGCAAAGGAGUCGGCUGCUGAUGUAAAGCUUGUCUUUUCUCCUGGUCUCUUUUGAUGAGCUGUGCGCCAUGGGCUAUUAGGCCCCCAAAUAUUUUGGGUUAGAUACAAUAGCUCAGUGCACAUAAUUCCCAUUUGGCAGAGAGGGCUUUAGGCUUUAUUACGUCUGAAAUAGUACGGAGCACAUCACUUUGACUUUGAUUUUUUUACAAUGUAUUCAAGAUGAACAGAGAUUCCAGUGAAUUUGAUUCAUAUCGCCAGUUCAUUUAUUAGUGGGCAUGAUGAUGAAACCAUAAAUCUGUCGCCCAGGUGGCACUAAUGGACUCCUUCCUGAGCUCCCUCAGCAAUGAGGGUGAGACUCAAGUGGAAUGGACCCUGCUCCUUUACCUCAGGAAGUGCACGGCUGCCUGGGUCGUGGGAGAUGGUGUCCUUGUUGGUGACUGAUGCAUCCUUGGAAGGAGAACUCCCCUGCCCUGCAGUUCCCAGCAUUUUUAUUUUACUCUCACCCACAUCUCAGUCUUACUUUCCUAUAGUUACUGAGUGUCUCCGGUAGCAUCUUCUUCUAGCAUCAAUAGAGAAAUAGAAAUAGCAAAUAGAAUUAUGAUUGAUACAGAGAUCUUUCAAUUUUUAAUAUAUUAGCCUUAAAAGAAUCUAUCGCAGAAAUCCUGAGCCUGGAUAGGAGUGCCUAUGUGACAUUAAAUGAUCAGCAGUCACCAACACAAGGCUACAACAUCAGCAUCAUGGGUCAGGUGGUGGAGGUGGACAUUAAUGAUUUUAGAAGAGGUUAUUUAUUAUGGAUGAAGUAAAUGCCCUGGAGCAGACGUGUAUUUCGCUAGGAGGGUGCAUAACAGGGGGAGCUGAUAAGUCUGGGAGGGAUGAGGGUAUGGGAGAGGAGUAAAAGGUUCUCUGAGGAAGUGACAUCGCAGCUGACUGGGGAAGUGUGAGCAGAAGAAAGGAGUUAGUGAGGUAAGGACAGGUGGGUUCCUAAUGGGGAUGGGGCUCUCAAGCAAAGAAAACCACAUAUUUAUAAGUAGGAAGUCACUUAGCUCUUCAGAGAAAUGACACGGGGAUCAGGAGCCUUGAAUAUGGCAAGAAAGAAAAGGAGGAUUGUAAGACUGGGUGGAAACGUUGGUCAUAUCAUGAAAGUUCUUGUCAGUAAAAAUAAGGACUUUGGAUUUUAAGAAUAGUGAGAGGCUCUGCUUUUAUGAUGUGAUAUGUUUCAAAGAUUACUCGGAUUGGAAAGCGGGAAGAGUGGAAACAGGAGGCCAGUUAGGAAGCAUUAAUAAUUCUUCUAGAGAGAGGGAUGAUGGUACUUGAGCCAGAACUAUGAUGGAGAAAAGAGGACAGAUUUGAGACAGACGUGGAGGUCAAACAUGGCGGCUGUUUUCUAGUAGAGUUGUCCGUCAAGGACAAGUGGGGGAAUGGCUCUGUCAUUUCCUGAAAGGGAAAUGGCAGAAGAGAAGCAAGUGAGAUUGAGUUCCAGUUGCUUGCGGUGGAUGUGAGAGGAAGGUGCUGUGGAUUGCACAGAGAGCCCCAGGGGACAGGGAAGUGAGGCUGGCCACCUUUGUUCUAGUUUCUAUAGUGGGGAUCCGCUGAGCAUGUCUUUGCAUGCCCCAAACACACAGACCAACAAAAAUAAAAAUUUCCCGUACACAAAUGUGGCUUCAGAAACACUGUGAACAGUGUGACUCCACGAGGGUUUGUGAGGGCCAGCAAGGUUGGAAGUCACAUACCCAAAUGUCUCACCUUGUGCCUUUUAAGGGUUUUACUCUUUCACCAAGACUCUUCUCAGUGGAAGCUGCCUCAGUUCCCACCUUUCCUUCCACAAGCCUACCUCCACCUGACCUUGUCCCCACCCCAUCUUCCACAACAAAUUACCCGUGGUCACCCCUAGGGCCUCCAUUCAGUUCUUUCAGCCAAAUAAAGAUCUAUCUUGGAAGCUACCUGCCAAAGGAUGAUGGGGGUGAGAAGGACAGGGGGAUCAUGAAUAAUAACUAUUUUUUGUGCAAACGAACGUGUUAGCCACAUGCGUAUGGUAUUCCCAUCUGUAAGAGUGGAACCUCAGUGCAGAAAAACUCAGUACUGGAGGAAGAGGCAUUAUAGGAGCUAAUGUCUGCAGUGGACGAGAGAAGAAGGUGCUGUGGAUUGCACAGAGAGCCCCAGGGGACAGGGAAGUGAGCCUGUAACUUGAGAGGCAGGAGGAAAACCCAGAGGCUGGAGAACCCAGAAACCAAGUGUCCAGAGGCUUAAGAGAAUCUAUUGUCAACUUCUCAAAUCUGUUGGAAGCUCAUUUGCAUAUUCAAAAAAUGUAAAUGAUCCCAUUAAAAAAAAAGUCUGCUAUCUAUACUUUCAGCCAACGGAAAAUUGGCAGUCCCUAACGUGUGUACCAAGCUUUGCCAAGAAUUUCUUUUCUUCUUUUCUUCUUCUUCUCUUCUUUUUUUUUACUGGCAAAGAAUUGUUUUAAUUUUGACAUAGUAAAUAUAGAUUGUAAAUAAGAACAAGGCAAACAAUGCAUCAGAUGAGUAGGCAAAGUAAUAAUCACUAAAUAGAACAUGAAUGACUAAUAAACAUAAGAAAAACCCUCAGCCACAUGCUGUGAAUUUCUUUUGCCUGAAUGCAGAAACAUCAGUGCUACUUUUUCUUUUUUCUCUUUGUGGAACAGGGAUUGGUAAUAUGAGCAGAGAAUCCUAGUUGCACAUUUCCUAGCAAUUCUGAGAUGGAAGGUUGUUGACCUUCCAAAGUUUUAAAAUUGAAAGGUGGCCCAACAGCAAAAAAUAACUGCUUCAGAUACAAAUGGGUAACUUCGGUAGGUCUGCACGGGGUGGCACAAGAAUCCAUGCCAUGAGAGGAAACACGGGAUUCUCAACAGAAGAAAUGCUUUUGAGUCGAGACAAAGCAAGCUGAAUAUGACUCUUGCAAACAUUUUCGGGCUUUGGGAAGGAAAAUACAGACAAUUAAUUAAACCUUGUAUUAAAAUGAGCAUUUACCAUGCUGUUUUGCUUUGCUUCCUCUUAGUGAAGAAUGCAAUCUCCCUUCGUCACUCACCUGGGCCCUUCCCCUAUAAACAUUUUUCUGACUUCCUGCCCUCUGUUAUCCAAGAGGAGAAUGUUGAUGAAUGGAGUUAUAUCCUUUAUCUCAGUAUCUCUUCAACAGCACAGCAGAUUGUGUCUUGCCUUCCCCAUUCCCCUUCCAAAUCUUAUCAUUGGGAAUUUAUGGCAGUUGCCUCUGAGGAGUGGUCUCUAGUGAUGACAGGCACAGGCGUGGGGACAUGCCCCUGGGAGUUAUGCCCCGCGCCACAGUCUUGACUAACUUGGAUCCAGCUUGAGGCAAAACUGAAAACCACGGAAUAUAACCCAGGCAUGCAUUCAAAAGGAUGCACUUUCUCUUUGCUCCCCACAAUAAUUCCAUCUGGGCAGCUAGCAUUUGCUUUGCUACACCUGUGAGAUUGGGAGAUGAUUAAACAUUUUAAUUCUUUCUCUGUUGGACGUUGAAAUUCACAACCCAUUCACCGGCGCUUCCCCUCAGCUUACUGCCCGUGUGCUUGGGACUCGGGAUCAGAAUAGUAAUUUGUGGAUUAUGAGAGUCAGGCUGCUCAGGGUUGCUUUUCAGGCAUUCCCCAGGGCUUUCUUAAAAAAUCUUACUUGAGCUUUUCUAGACAGGGCCAAGGAAAGCAGUGAGACAUUCUGCUGUUUGGGUGAAGCAAAGCGAGGAGGAAGGAAGGGUUUUUAUGUUGGAGUUGAAACAACAAGCUUGGUACUAUCAAGAUAUGCCAAUUCAAACAAAAUGAGAAGAGAUCAAAUAAAUAAUAGCCAACUAGGACAUGUGGAGAUGUUUAUUGAGUUGCAUCAUAUUCUUGUUUUCUGUUGAUGUUCUUCCCCCUGUUUGUCCUUGAAGAUGAGGGUAAUCUUUCAGGUCAUCCAGUACAGAGACAGCCUGUGGAUCAUUACAUCUUAAGAAAUAAAGGACCUUAGAGAUCACAGCCUUCCAAUCUAUGUUACCUGCAUUCGGAUAAUCUAGAAUCAAAAUCUAGCCUCUGCCUGAACUCUUAAGUUUAUGAGGCUGACAGCUACAUCAUUUUCUGAACUGUUCCAAAUUAUGAAAGCAUUUUAUUUAAGCUACAGGAUGUUCAGUGGAAUGUUUUGCUGUUGUCUACAGAUGCCCACGAGUUGGAAAACAAAACAUUCUAAAUUAAGAAGGAGC